CAAACAGGUCCUGGGAUGGGCAAGCACAGGGGAUCCAAAUGUGCAAAAGUGACUCCCUUCAAGACUGAGACAGUGGGAAGAUGAAGAAAUGUCUGUCUCUGCAGGAGCUCACCAGGCGUGCUUGAGAAGAAGGGAGUGGGAGCCCAGCAGAUCACAAACUAUGGUGUAGCACAGUGAGAGGAGCCAAUACAAGGCCAGAGGCAGAGCAGAGGCCACACGCAGAGAUGCCAAAACACAUAUGCAUGUUGGACAUUUUUGUCUAAAGACACUAUGAAGUGCUAAAAUAUUAACUUU